rnacentral:rRNA from 1 species
UACGUAGGGGGCAAGCGUUGUCCGGAAUCAUUGGGCGUAAAGCGUGCGCAGGCGGUGAUGUAAGACAGGUGUGAAAUCCCCGGGCUUAACCUGGGAAUGGCGAUGGAGACUGCAAGGCUAGAGUUUGGCAGAGGGGGGUAGAAUUCCACGUGUAGCAGUGAAAUGCGUAGAGAUGUGGAGGAACACCGAUGGCGAAGGCAGCCCCCUGGGUCAAAACUGACGCUCAUGCACGAAAGCGUGGGGAGCAAACAGG